UGCAGUCGAACGGUGAAAGAGAGCUUGCUCUCUGGAUCAGUGGCGAACGGGUGAGUAACACGUGAGCAAUCUGCCCCUGACUCUGGGAUAAGCGCUGGAAACGGCGUCUAAUACCGGAUACGAGCUGCGAAGGCAUCUUCAGCAGCUGGAAAGAACUUCGGUCAGGGAUGAGCUCGCGGCCUAUCAGCUAGUUGGUGAGGUAAUGGCUCACCAAGGCGUCGACGGGUAGCCGGCCUGAGAGGGUGACCGGCCACACUGGGACUGAGACACGGCCCAGACUCCUACGGGAGGCAGCAGUGGGGAAUAUUGCACAAUGGGCGCAAGCCUGAUGCAGCAACGCCGCGUGAGGGACGACGGCCUUCGGGUUGUAAACCUCUUUUAGCAGGGAAGAAGCGAAAGUGACGGUACCUGCAGAAAAAGCACCGGCUAACUACGUGCCAGCAGCCGCGGUAAUACGUAGGGUGCAAGCGUUAUCCGGAAUUAUUGGGCGUAAAGAGCUCGUAGGCGGUUUGUCGCGUCUGCUGUGAAAACUGGGGGCUCAACCCCCAGCCUGCAGUGGGUACGGGCAGACUAAAGUGCGGUAGGGGAGAUUGGAAUUCCUGGUGUAGCGGUGGAAUGCGCAGAUAUCAUG
rnacentral:rRNA from 1 species